AUUGAACGCUGGCGGCAUGCUUUACACAUGCAAGUCGAACGGUAACAGGCCGCAAGGUGCUGACGAGCGGCGAACGGUGGAGUAAUGCAUCGGAACGUGCCCAGUCCUGGGGGAUAACUACUCGUAAGAGUAGCUAAUACCGCAUACGAUCUAUGGAUGAAAACGGGGGACCGCAAGGCCUCUCGCGAUUGGAGCGGCCGAUGUCAGAUUAGGUAGUUGGUGGGGUAAAGGCUCACCAAGCCAACGAUCUGUAGCUGGUCUGAGAGGACGACCAGCCACACUGGAACUGAGACACGGCCCAGACUCCUACGGGAGGCAGCAGUGGGGAAUUUUGGACAAUGGGCGCAAGCCUGAUCCAGCAAUGCCGCGUGCAGGAAGAAGGCCUUCGGGUUGUAAAGUGCUUUUGUACGGAAAGAAACGGAUCUGGUUAAUACCCGGGGCUAAUGACGGUACCGAAAGAAUAAGCACCGGCUAACUACGUG
rnacentral:rRNA from 1 species